AUUGAACGCUGGCGGCAGGCUUAACACAUGCAAGUCGAGCGAGCGGCGGACGGGUGAGUAAUGUCUGGGAAACUGCCUGAUGGAGGGGGAUAACUAAUGGAAACGGUAGCUAAUACCUCAUACCAUCAGAUGUGCCCAGAUGGGCUUGGCGAGGGGGUGGGGUAAUGGCUCACCUAGGCGACGAUCCCUAGCUGGUCUGAGAGGGUGACCAGCCGCACUGGAACUGAGACACGGUCCAGACUCGUACGGGAGGAAGCAGUGGAGAAUAUUGCACAAUGGGCGAAAGCCUGAUGCAGCCAUGCCGCGUGGGUGAAGAAGGCCUUCGGGUUGUAAAGCACUUUCAGCGAGGAGGCGUUACUCGCAGAAGAAACACCGGCUAACUCCGUGCCAGCAGCCGCGGUAAUUC
rnacentral:rRNA from 1 species